AGCCCCCAUUGGGUGCAUUUCCACUGAGGCGAUGCACCACAACUGGCUCUGGGUCGGCUGGGCCAGUGGACGGUGUGAGAUCGGUAAUGGCCCCGAGCGCACCGGGAUUGGAUCUUCUUCGAGUCGGGUGGCUUGGGAAUGCAGCCCAAAGCUGGUGGUAAACUCCAUCUAAGGCUAAUUACUGGCACGAGACCGAUAGUCAACAAAUACCAUAAGG
rnacentral:ncRNA from 1 species